UUGGAUGUGAGCACAGUGAGGCGAUAGGUAGUGCAUUUCAGCAACAGUGGGUCACCUCCACUAGUACAGAUGUUUAUGAGCAUGGCAUGUAGGCUCUUAUUCAUCACUAGUGAUAAUGCUAAUGCUGGUGACUACAAUGAAAAAUAGUGUUUUGUAGCUGAAAAUUUGCUCUAUCAAAUAGCGUUAUUGUUCUUUCCAUAUUUUUUGUAGUUUCCAUGGAAAUAAGUAGGAGGCAUUACUUUUGGAGCGACCUACGUAGCAUGGAAUUUCUGCUGGGAAUGAGACAAAUGGAGAAGGGACCAAGAUAAAUCCUGGCCUUGGAGUGGUUACAAAGUUGGCCCACGACUCGACCUGAGGGCUUUGUAAUAGAGAAAUUACGCCAAGUUGAAGUCUCAGACCCAGUGAGUGACGAGUACCAUAAUCUCACCCCAAGGACCAGCACACUCACCAUGUCAAAGAAGGCACUCAAAAUACCUGAGAAAUAAAUUACAAUUACUAUCAUAUUUAACA
rnacentral:lncRNA from 1 species